AUUGAACGCUGGCGGCACGCCUAACACAUGCAAGUCGAGCGGCAGCGAGAGUAGUAGCAAUACUACUUGUCGGCGAGCGGCGGACGGGUGAGGAACACGUAGGAAUCUACCCAGAAGAGGGGGAUAACCAAGGGAAACUUUGGCUAAUACCGCAUAAUCUCGAGAGAGAAAAGCUGCCCGCAAGGGUGGCGCUUUUGGAGGAGCCUGCGUCCGAUUAGCUAGUUGGUAGGGUAAAGGCCUACUAAGGCGAUGAUCGGUAACUGGUCUGAGAGGACGACCAGUCACACUGGGACUGAGACACGGCCCAGACUCCUACGGGAGGCAGCAGUGGGGAAUAUUGGACAAUGGGGGCAACCCUGAUCCAGCGAUGCCGCGUGAGUGAAGAAGGCCUUCGGGUCGUAAAGCUCUUUAGGUUGGGAAGAAGGUUGUAGGGGUAAUAUCCUUGCAAUUUGACGGUACCGACAGAAUAAGCACCGGCAAACUCUGUGCCAGCAGCCGCCGUAA
rnacentral:rRNA from 1 species